AACGUAGGACACAAGCGUUAUCCGGAUUCACUGGGUUUAAAGGGUGCGUAGGAGGACAGGUAAGUCAGUGGUGAAAUCUCCGAGCUUAACUUGGAAACUGCCGUUGAUACUAUCUGCCUUGAAUAUUGUGGAGGUGAGCGGAAUAUGUCAUGUAGCGGUGAAAUGCUUAGAUAUGACAUAGAACACCAAUUGCGAAGGCAGCUCGCUACACAUAUAUUGACUCUGAGGCACGAAAGCGUGGGGAUCAAACAGG
rnacentral:rRNA from 1 species